rnacentral:lncRNA from 1 species
AUGGAGAAACAGAAUCUCACAGUGCUGAGUGAAUUCAUUUUGAAAGGCAUCACUGACCGUCCUGAGAUGCAGGCCCCACUCUUUGGGUUGCUCUUCAUUAUCUAUCUGAUCUCAGCAGUGGGUAAUUUGGGCAUCAUCAUUAUUACUAACGUGGGCUCCAGGCUCUGCAUACCCAUGUACUUUUUUUCUCAAACAUCUGGCUUUCACUGAUCUUGGAUAUUCUACAGCCAUUGGACCAAAAAUGUUAGUUAAUUUUGUUGCAGAGAAUAAUUCAGUCUCCUAUUACCUUUGUGCUACACAGUUAGCUUGCUUUCUUCUUUUUAUUACUUGUGAACUUUUAAUUUUUUCUUCAAUGUCCUAUGACCGUUAUGUGCCUAUAUGUAACCCUCUUCUCUAUACUGUCAUCAUGUCACAAAGAAUAUGUUGGGUACUUGUGGCAGUCCCAUAUAUCUACAGUGUAUUUGUAUCUCUAAUUGUCACAAUAAGGUUAUUCACUUUAUCCUUUUGUGGCUACAAUAUCAUCAAUCUUUUUUUCUGUGAUUGUAUCCCAUUAAUAUCUUUGCUCUGUUCAAAUACACAUGAGGUUGAAGUGAUAAUUAGGUUCUAUGCAACAUUUGAUUUGAUUUCCUCUCUUCUGGUCGUCCUUGUGUCUUAUCUGUUUAUUCUCAUAACUAUUCUGAGGAUGAAAUCUGCUGCAGGCAGACGCAAGGCUUUUUCAACCUGUGGGUCUCACCUCACUGUGGUCAGUGUCUUCUAUGGGACUUUGAUAUUUAUGUAUGUGCAGCCUAAGUACAGUCAAACAUUUGAGACUGAUAAAGUGUCUUCCAUAUUUUACACACUUGUUAUCCCAAUGUUGAAUCCCUUGAUCUAUUCCUUGAGGAAUAAAGAUGCAAAAGAUGCCAUAGAAAGAACCUGGAAAAAGAUAGUUACCAGUUUUUCUUAA